rnacentral:rRNA from 1 species
GUCUAUGGCCAUACCACCCUGAAUGCAUCCAACCUCGUCUGAUCUCAGAAGCUAAGCAGGGUCGGGCCUGGUUAGUACUUGGAUGGGAAAAAGGACUGAAACACCUGAAGGGC